rnacentral:rRNA from 1 species
UGGGGAAUAUUGGACAAUGGGGGCAACCCUGAUCCAGCAAUGCCGCGUGUGUGAAGAAGGUCUUCGGAUUGUAAAGCACUUUCGACGGGGACGAUGAUGACGGUACCCGUAGAAGAAGCCCCGGCUAACUUCGUGCCAGCAGCCGCGGUAAUACGAAGGGGGCUAGCGUUGCUCGGAAUGACUGGGCGUAAAGGGCGUGUAGGCGGUUUACACAGUCAGAUGUGAAAUCCCCGGGCUUAACCUGGGAGCUGCAUUUGAUACGUGUAGACUAGAGUGUGAGAGAGGGUUGUGGAAUUCCCAGUGUAGAGGUGAAAUUCGUAGAUAUUGGGAAGAACACCGGUGGCGAAGGCGGCAACCUGGCUCAUGACUGACGCUGAGGCGCGAAAGCGUGGGGAGCAAACAGGAUUAGAUACCCUGGUAGUCCACGCUGUAAACGAUGUGUGCUAGAUGUUGGGUAACUUUGUUAUUCAGUGUCGCAGUUAACGCGUUAAGCACACCGCCUGGGGAGUACGGCCGCAAGGUUGAAAC